CAGAGAGCUAGGACCUGCUACAAACAGCUCAGACAGGCCACGUCCAAAAGGCCAGACCGACUUCUCCCCAUCACGGUUGCUCGGUCCUACAGGAGAGUUAGCAGCAAGCAGUCUUCUCCAGACAAGAAAGCACGUGGAAUCCUUUGACAAGAAAGAUGGAGAUUUGGCAUGAGGAGAGCCAUGAAGUCAGUGCAGGUCACACAGACAGUGGCCCCUGAACAUGUAUGACCGCUGUCCAGGGACACUGGGAACUGUGCUGAAGAAGUGCCAGGGAGUAGGGCUGGAGAAAUGGCUCAGGGUUAAGAACAACAGAUGCUCUUCCAGACGACCUGAGUUCAGUUCCCCGCACCGCACACUUGAGCAGCUCACAACUGUCUAUAAUUCCAGCUCCAGGGGAUCUGACAAUCUCAUUUGGCUUUUAUGGGC